rnacentral:tRNA from 2 species
GCUUGCGUGGUGUAGUCCGGUCCAUCAUCUCGCCCUUUCGAGGCGAGGACCCGGGUUCAAAUCCCGGCGCGAGCACCA